AUUGAACGCUGGCGGUAGGCCUAACACAUGCAAGUCGAACGCGAAAGUCCUUCGGGAUGAGUAGAGUGGCGGACGGGUGAGUAACGCGUAGGAAUCUAUCCUGUAGUGGGGGGAUAACGUUUCGAAAGGAACGCUAAUACCGCAUACGCCCCAAGGGGGAAAGCGGGGGAUCUUCGGACCUCGUGCUAUAGGAGGAGCCUGCGUCGGAUUAGCUAGUUGGUGAGGUAAAGGCUCACCAAGGCGACGAUCCGUAGCUGGUCUGAGAGGAUGAUCAGCCACACCGGAACUGAGACACGGUCCGGACUCCUACGGGAGGCAGCAGUGGGGAAUAUUGCGCAAUGGGCGAAAGCCUGACGCAGCCAUACCGCGUGUGUGAAGAAGGCCUUCGGGUUGUAAGCACUUUCAGUGGGGAGGAAAGUUCGGUGGCGUAAUAUCCAUCGGCCGUGACGCUACCCACAGAAGAAGCACCGGCUAAUUCCGUG
rnacentral:rRNA from 1 species